rnacentral:rRNA from 1 species
CCCCUAGACGUUCUGGGCUGCACGCGCGCUACUAUAAUACGCACAGCGAGUAUCACCGAGCUCGAAAGGGCAAGGUAAACAAUAGAAAAGGUACUGUAAUGGUUAUAGAUCCUUGUAAUUAUUGAUCUUCAACGAGGAAUUCCUAGUAAGUAUGUGUCAUCAUCACGCACUGAUUACGUCCCUGCCCUUUGUACACACCGCCCGUCGCUCCUACCGAUUGAAUGCUCAGGUGAGCCAUUCGGACUUUCAUCAUGCUGGUUUCCAGUUUUGAUGAAGGAAAGUCUUGCGAACCUUAUCAUUUAGAGGAAGGAGAAGUCGUAACA